UGCCGGGUGUGUGCCGAAUACAAGACCCUUCGGGGGAAUAAAGCCGCCGACCAUUGCCGGUUUUGAGCACCCGGCGCCCAUUCU
rnacentral:ncRNA from 1 species